AAACUCCUUCUUGCUCCCCAACGAUGAGUGCCUGGAGCCGUCAGCAUUACACCGCGGAGGUGGAGGCCAAGAUCGAUCGCCUAAUCAGCAUGCAUCUGGAGGCCUCGGAUAGGUAUCUCUCUCUGGGAUUCUUUUUCAAAGAUAACAGGUCUAUGGGCAACCUGGUUCAUUUCUUCCGAGAUCUGUCUGAAGAGAAGCGUCAGGAUGCCUAUCUUCUAAUGCAAACUCGACAGAGCGGCUGUGACCACUUCUCUGAUGGGCAGGUGAUGCCCUCAUGUCGCUGUGACGGGAGCCUGGAUGCCAUGGAAACUUCCUUGGCCUUGGAGAAGAACCUGAACCAAGUCCUUCUGGAUCUGCAUGCCCUGGGUUCAGCCAACGCAGACUUCCAACUCUGCCACUUCUUGGAGAAGCACUUCUUGGAGAAGGAGACGUAUCUCAUCAAGAAGAUUAACGACUACCUGACCAACCUCCGCCAGCAAGCCAGCGAGGAGGAAAGCCUGAGUGCAAGUCUCCUCAAAAGGCUCACGUUCAGCAGUGACUAGGGACUCCUGGAGUCCUUGGUUGGUGGCCUUGAGGAGCCGGCUCUGUUUUGCUGAUACCAGCUUCUUGUUCAGCUCAGCAUCAACUGCUAAAGCCACAUGCCAAUUGGAAACAAAGUUUCUUCGCGUAGACAAAAAAACAGCUAAGUUGGGAGUAGAAUGAAGGAUUUAUUGUCUGACAGUCUCUGGCAGUGUUAAGUAAACUGUUCUUUUCUGGAUCAUCUAUACACUAAAGAACCGAACCUGUGUUUGGUUUGCCCUCCCAUUCCCCAAUCUUAAUAAUUCAUAAAAAUUGUAUACGGUCUUAGUGGUGGUGUGAUUUUAACCAAUUCUGUCUGCUGUACUUUGCUCCAGAUGCAUUCUAAAAUGUAUGGUUAAUUUUUGCCUAGAAGAAAAAAAGUGGACUGACUGUCUGGACUACAUCAUGUUGUACCCCCACCCCCUACUCGCCAUCAGUCACCAUCUAAUUGCUUUUCCUGAUCUCCCAGUUGAUGUGAUGCCAUCUGCUUAUUCGCGGGAACCCAAGAAGCAGCAACCCCAUGAAAGUCAUCGUGGUAUCUCCCACUAGGUUGCUGCUGACAACACGGACUAUCUACCAUGCCCUGACCUCUUGAUGAAGAUUCUCAAGUUAAACGUUGGUGGACUUACACUUAGAAAUAGUGCUUCCAUUUGGUAAUUGGCUUAUUUUUGCUUUAUGGACAUGAUCAGUAGAACGAAGUUCCGAUUUCUGAUUGCCUGUUUAAUCUCUUAGGGCUAAUUUUUCAAUCCAGAUAAGAGGAAAUGAGAAAGGCUGCAUAAGCACUACGGUAUGUUACAUCUUUUAUUAACAUGUCUGUGUGUUAUGGAUUCUUUUAUGCCAUUUAAAGGUUUAUCUUUCUAGACUGCAACCGAGAAUAUAUAGAUGAAUAAACACUGUCACCGCAGAUUAAGUUUCUGUUGCUUCUUUUCAAGAAGAGGGGCAAAAACUUCCAUGAGAGAGCCAAAGUGGUUCAAGUAGGGGUGGGUCAGACAGAAGCUGAAUCUCAAAAGCCAAGAUAGGAGAAAGAGCAUUGUGGGGAAGGUCACUGCAUAGAGAAUGUGUUUCAUUUUUAUGGGCAAGUUUUUUAAUUUUAAUUUUAAUUUUUGCUAAACUCAUAAUUUUUGUCCUACAGAUAGCAAUAGAGUAGUUAUUUUCCUUGAAAUUUGGAAAGCUGGAGCUGGGGUUGUAACUUUUUUUCUCAAACUGUAGACUUGGAUUGGGGGUUGGGUACUGGUAAAGAUGAAUUGGAGGUUGUGUGAAGGGCUUCCUGUUGCUAUACCUCAAGCUCAGUUAAACCAGCUAGU